UUCGCAAUGCCCGAAAGGGUGACGAAGCGACGCCGCGUGGGUGAGGAAGGCCCUCGGGUUGUAAAGCCCUGUCAGGAGUUAAGAAAUGUAAGUGCGCUAAUAUCGCAUUUAUUUGACGAAGGCUCCAAAGGAAGUCACGGCUAACUCUGUGCCAGCAGCCGCGGUAAUACAGAGGUGGCAAGCGUUGUUCGGAAUUAUUGGGCGUAAAGAGCACGUAGGUGGGUUUGCAAGUCAGAUGUGAAAGCCUCCUGUUCAACGGGAGAAUUGCAUCUGAAACUGCAGAUCUUGAGUGUAGGAGGGGAGAAUGGAACUUCUGGUGGAGCGGUGAAAUGCGUAGAUAUCAGAAGGAACGCCGGCGGCGAAAGCGAUUCUCUGGCCUAUUACUGACACUCAGUGUGCGAAAGCUAGGGGAGCAAACGGGAUUAGAUACCCCGGUAGUCCUAGCCGUAAACGAUGGGCACUAAGUAGAGGGGUUUU
rnacentral:rRNA from 2 species